rnacentral:rRNA from 1 species
GGGAUUGCCCUAGUAACGGCGAGUGAAGCGGCAACAGCUCAAAUUUGAAAUCUGGCCCUCGGGUCCGAAUUGUAAUUUGUAGAGGAUGCUUUUGGUGCGGUGCCUUCCGAGUUCCCUGGAACGGGACGCCAGAGAGGGUGAGAGCCCCGUACGGUUGGACACCUACCCUAUAUAUAGCUCCUUCGACGAGUCGAGUAGUUUGGGAAUGCUGCUCUAAAUGGGAGGUAAAUUUCUUCUAAAGCUAAAUACCGGCCAGAGACCGAUAGCGCACAAGUAGAGUGAUCGAAAGAUGAAAAGCACUUUGAAAAGAGGGUUAAAUAGCACGUGAAAUUGUUGAAAGGGAAGCGUUUGUGACCAGACUUUUUCCUAGUGGAUCAUCCGGUGUUCUCACCGGUGCACUUCACUGGGUUUAGGCCAGCAUCGGUUUCCGGAGGGGGACAAAAGCAUGGGGAAUGUGGCUCUUUCGGGAGUGUUAUAGCCCCUAGCAUAAUACCUCUCCUGGGGACCGAGGACCGCGCUUCGGCAAGGAUGCUGGCGUAAUGGUUAUCAACGACCCGUCUUGAAACACGGACCAAGGAGUCGAACAUUUGUGCGAGUGUUUGGGUAUCAAACCCUCACGCGUAAUGAAAGUGAACGGAGGUGAGAGCCCUUCGGGGUGCAUCAUCGACCGAUCCUGAUGUCUUCGGAUGGAUUUGAGUAAGAGCAUAACUGUUCGGACCCGAAAGAUGGUGAACUAUGCGUGGAUAGGGUGAAGCCAGAGGAAACUCUGGUGGAGGCUCGCAGCGGUUCUGACGUGCAAAUCGAUCGUCAAAUCUGCGCAUGGGGGCGAAAGACUUAUCGAACCUCUAGACUGUCCGCCCCCCCCCCCCCCCCCUCCCCCCCCCAAAGAA